UUAUUCAGAAAUCACUCCUACUCAGAAUUCCGUAAUAAGUGAAAAAUAAAGAUAGAAUAUAGAAGGCAGCAAACUAUUUUAAACUUCCAACUAAAGUUCAAUUUUAAAAAAAUAUCACAAAAGGUUUUUUUCCUUUGGUGAUUAAGAUUUCAACAUACUUUGGAAAGAACCCAGUUUUGAAUAACAAAGACCUUGACCUACAAAGUUACCAAGAAGUUGCCAGGAAAAAAAUAUAAUGCGUAAUAAAAGAGUAAGCUAUGAAAAAUGCUGAGCAGGGUUGGGGAGCUGCCAGCCCAGCAGAUCAGCUCUAUAUCAAUGCUUUACAAGGAAGAACACACUGUCUGCUGCUGUACAAAGCUAACUGUCAAGAUUCCCCUUGCUGAAUCCAGAUGAUCAGGGAGUGUUUGCUGAAGGUUCUCUUCUACUACAAUAUGCAACAGGACUGGGUCCAAUGGC